UAGGGAAUCUUCGGCAAUGGGGGAAACCCUGAUGCAGCGACGCCGCGUGAGCGAUGAAGGCUUUCGAGUCGUAAAGCUCUGUCCUAUGGGAAGAUAAUGACGGUACCAUAGAAGAAAGCCCCGGCUAAUUACGUGCCAGCAGCCGCGGUAAUACGUAAGGGGCGAGCGUUGUCCGGAAUUAUUGGGCGUAAAGAGUGCGUAGGCGGCAAAUUAAGUCAGAUGUGAAAACUAAGGGCUCAACCCAUAGAUUGCAUCUGAAACUGAUAUGCUUGAGUCAAGGAGAGGAAAGUGGAAUUCCUAGUGUAGCGGUGGAAUGCGUAGAUAUUAGGAGGAAUACCGGUGGCGAAGGCGACUUUCUGGACUUGAACUGACGCUGAGGCACGAAAGCGUGGGGAGCAAACAGG
rnacentral:rRNA from 1 species